GGUAGCAUAGUGGUUAGAGCAUCGGGCUCCCGUCCGGAAGGCUUGGAUUCGAUGCCCGAUACCA